CAAUAGCGUAUAUUUAAGUUGUUGCAGUUAAAAGCUCGUAGUUGGAUUUCGGUUGAGAACGGCCGGUCCGCCGUUUGGUGUGCACUGGCUGGUCUCAACUUCCUGUAGAGGACGCGCUCUGGGUUAACGCUCGGACGCGGAGUCUACGUGGUUACUGUGAAAAAUUAGAGUGUUCAAAGCAGGCUUAUGCCGUUGAAUACAUUAGCAUGGAAUAAUAAGAUAGGACCCUGGUACUAUUUUGUUGGUUUGCGUACCUAGGUAAUGAUUAAUAGGGACAGUUGGGGGCAUUCGUAUUUCAUUGUCAGAGGUGAAAUUCUUGGAUUUAUGAAAGACGAACUUCUGCGAAAGCAUUUGCCAAGGAUGUUUUCAUUAAUCAAGAACGAAAGUUGGAGGCUCGAAGACGAUUAGAU
rnacentral:rRNA from 1 species